GGGGGAUUAGUUAAAUGGUAUAAUUUCUCUCUCCAAAAGAGAAGUCGAGGGUUCGAUUCCUUCAUCCCCCGCAA
rnacentral:tRNA from 1 species